GUCAAAAUCGGACGACGCCGAUUUGCACAGCCCUAGUUUGAGAAAACAUUCCGCACUGGUUCAUUUUGUUGAAUUGACGGUCGGCAAUUGCCGCGCACCCCU
ensembl:ncRNA Y41G9A.16 ncRNA